rnacentral:misc_RNA from 1 species
GAUGAAGAACGCAGCGAAAUGCGAUAAGUAGUGUGAAUUGCAGAAUUCAGUGAAUCAUCGAAUCUUUGAACGCACAUUGCGCCCGCCAGUAUUCUGGCGGGCAUGCCUGUCUGAGCGUCAUUUCAACCCUCACGCCCCUAGGGCGUGGUGUUGGGGAUCGGCCAAGGCCCGCAAGGGACGGCCGGCCCCUAAAUCUAGUGGCGGACCCAUCGUGGCCUCCCCUGCGAAGUAGUAAUAUAUUCCGCAUCGGAUAGCGAUGAGCCCCUGCCGUUAAACCCCCAACUCUUUCAAGGUUGACCUCAGAUCAGGUAGGAAUACCCGCUGAACUUAAGCAUAUCAAUAAGCGGAGGA